GCGGUGUACAGUCAAGAAAAAUAUAGACACACAAACAUCAUAAAAUUGCUAAUUAAAAUUAUUACUUAGUUUGGUCAAUUAAAUAAAAUCCAGAAUUAGAUAACAUUUAAAAAAUCAUUCACAUGUUCGUAUGUUUAGCCCCGCCUGUUGGAACUUGACGGCUGCCAUUCAUUUAUGACAGUUGUGCUGUCUCAGGGUCAUGUGAUCUCCAUUUAACUAUGGCAAAAAGGUUGUAAAAUGAAUCGCAACGCUUUUAAUAGCUGCCUCGCUUAGCCACGGAAAUUUGGGGUUCAGUUUUCGGUUGUAAGUCGAGGAUUACCUGUACAGUAUUUUAGGCUGGCAGCUGCAUUGAAAAUUACAUCCCCCCCCCCCCUUCUUUUGUGCUUCAGGAAAAGACGAACAGAAUGUUGCAUAGAGAGUUUUCUUAUCAGAUUGGAAAAGUGUUAUAAAAUGGAACUUUUUUUUAAGUCUAAGGAAGCAUUCUCCCCUGCAUUGCAAAUGGCAGCAGUAUAUACAUAUUUAUUCAUCUUAAUGGCAGUCUUGUAAACCCUGAAAAGGCUGAAGCAGAGAAAGAACAAAGUCUACCAAUAGCAUCUUUUUUUCUCCGAUUAAAGAUACAGGUAUUCGUAUAUUUGUUUGUAAAGCGAAACGUAUCAAAACUUCAACUUAAAAGGACAAAUAUGAGCUAAAAGCCUUUGGAAGGAAAACCCAAGUCAUGCAUGAGGAUUGCUGUGUGGCCAGCUGAGUCUCAUCUGCCAAUCUUGACUUUGGCAUGGCUUUGCCAACAAUAAUGUUGCCUGCAGCCAUUUCUGCACCAGCUAAAGAGCUGGAACCAAGACAAAUAUUGGCCUAGCUUUUAUGCCGCUGUUCUCCACUGUUUCCCGAACCAAAUAAUCACAGCGGGCGCCUGCCAUACGACCUCAGCGGUUGAAGGUCAGCCAAUUCUGGCCUUAUAGAUUUUGGGGAGGGAAAAGCUCACCCACCGGAAGAGAAGAAGAAAUAUAUAUAUAUAUAUGUUCAAGACAUUAAAGCUUUUGAUGGAUGGCUGCUGGUAACCAAGUCUCCAGCUUCACCCCAGCUUUCGUCGCUGCAAAAAAGGCAACUGAAACUCAGUAGGAUGAAAAGGAGCAAAUCUCAAGGAGUCGAAAUCUGCAACCCGUUAACCAGAAGGAGGUUUUGUGAUAUCACAUAUUUGACAUUUCUCCUCCUCCUCCUCCUCCUGAGAAGCGUCUUCGGAAUUUAUGCCUGGACGUUCAGAGAAACCAAGGAUCCAAAUAAUCCUGCCCUCAUGUUCUUAUCUAGCUUGGGAGUAUCAUGAAAAUUGCAUGGCUGCCGCCUCCUUCUCCUCGCCAAAACCUCGCUCCAAGAAGUAUUAAAUCCAAAUUAAACGGUAUUAAAUCCAAAAUUUUGGGGGGGGCUGGAGAGCUAAAGUUGCUCCUUUUUUAAGUUCUCCUGUUAGAAAAGGAACCGGGCUUUUUUUUUUGACUACUGAAAGGCCUCUCCAAACUCCAGCCCUUCAAAGGCAAUUCCUCGAUAUUCUCAAUUUUGCUCAUCUCAGCAAAAAAAAAAAAAGGGGGGGGGGGUGGGGAGAAUCAGGGCUGGAUGAGUCACUCAGCUGCUGCGCUUAAGUAACAGAGAACUGGCUUUUUUGGAAGUCCUCCAACUUCUCCAUGGCUUUCCUCCAUGCCAACUUUUUCUCCUUGGAUUUGCACUUUUCCUCCAGUUGCGGCAGGAGUAACGUCUCCGCCGCUGGCCUCUUAAAAUUUUAAGUUUGGAAAAGGCCUGCUUGCAUAGCUUUUGCGGGCACGAAAAAGAGAUUCAGAGGUCCAGGAAGAAGAAGGGAGAAUGUAAGAAUGUUAAGAUCUUCUAGUUCCAGAAGGGGCAUCGCUGAUAGAUUUAAACAAGGGCGAUGUCGUUUGAAUUGAUCCGGUUUCUGGGAUCUUUUACCCCAGAAAUGGAUAGAUGAGAGAGGAUUGACAAAGUGCUCUGCGGAUUCUCUCAGGAAAAUCCCAAUUGCUGGUUUGCAAAUCUCUGUGCAAAAACAACCACAAGGGACUCAAAAGAGGGGAAUCGUUUUGCCACCAGAUGUUGUGAGUUUUGCCAGCAUCCUUCAGCGCUGCCCUAAGGCCACAUCUGCUAAAUCUCUUCCCCCCCAGAAACACGGUUAGCUUGCAAAGCACGUUGGCGCAUUCAGAAAUGAGACCUCAGGCUCAAACUUCCCCCUCCUUGUCUAUUUGAACGGACAGCGCCUGACGGAAUGCCUGGCCCUGGGAAGGAAGGAAGGGCUGUGCACACACCGGGCUUAGAGCCAAGGAGUUGAGUUAAAAAAAAAAAAGAGAGAGAGAGAGAUAAAGGUAAUCCGAAAACUAUUCACUAAACUUGUGGCUGCAAGUUUGAUAAUGGAAGACAGCAGAGAAACGGAGAUAUUCAGAGAAUCAGACAGGCUGGGAGGCAACUUCAGAGGUUGAGUUUCUUGACAAAAAUGGAGCUCCUGGUUUUAUUGCCAUUAUUUCGCAUAGAUAGAUAGAUAAUACAGACAGAGAUAGAUGAUAGAUAGAUAGAUAGAUAGAUAGAUAAUGAUAGAUAGAUAGAUAGAUAGAUAAUGAUAGAGAGAUAGAUAGAUAGAUAGAUAGAUAAUGAUAGAUAGAAAGAUUAGAUUAGAUAGAUAGAUAAUGAUAGAGAGAAAGAUUAGAUAGAUAGAUAGAUAAAUGAUAGAGAGAUAUAGAUAGAUGAGAGAUAGAUAGAUACGAUAGAUAACGAUAAUGAUAGAUGAUAGAUUGGAUAGAUAUAUUGAUAGAUGAUUGAUAGAUGAUACAGAUCGUAGAGAUGAUAAUGAUAGAUCGAUAGAGAUGAUAAUUGAUAGAUGGUAGAGAUGAAUUAGAGAUGGAGGUGAUUGAUAGACGAUAGAUAUAUGAUAAAUAGAUUGGAUAGAUGAUAUAUUGAUAAAUGAUUGAUAGAUGAUACAGAUUGUAGAGAUGAUAGAGGUGAUAGAUCGAUACAGAGAUGAUAAUAGAUAGGUAGAUGAUAGAGAUGGAGAUGAUUGAUGAUUGAUAGAUAAUAGAGAUGAUAGAGAUGAUAGAUGAUAUAGAUAGAAAGAAAAAAGAAAAAGAAUAUAUAUAGAUGAUAGAGAGAGACAUAAAGACAGGAACCAUUCGCAUUCUUUAAUGCUUGAAGGUUUUUUAAUUGUGAUGUCUUGUUGCUUAUGAUGGAAAGGGCCUCAGGAAACAAUUGCAGCCUAAAAUGUUGGACUCCAGUUCCCAUCAUAACAGAAUGACAAGAGUCGGAAGGAACUUUGAAGGUCCAACCCCUUGUUCAGGCAGGAAAUCCUACACCAUUUCAGACAAACAAGAUUGGUUGUCCAAUCUCUUUUUUUCCCCCUCCCCAUCCAUGACCCCCAUCCCACACCAGGUUUCAAACAGGACGAGGACUCCAACAGUCCAUCCAACAUGCAUAAAGGGAGCAUUUGUUUUUGUGGUAGGAAAGAAAACACGGACACAUAGCAUUCAAAUCCCAUCCUGAGGGAUUUGAAGCCUUACUCUACUUUUAAGUCUACCUCGCCAGAUUGUUGUGAGGGUAUCGGGGUGGGGGGGUAGGAUGGGGCUUCCCACAGAACCCCUUGGAAGAGAAGCGAGCAAGAUAAAUCAAAACAGUCGUAUUUUAAAUAUCAGCGGCUUACCUGGCU